rnacentral:rRNA from 1 species
AUUGAACGCUAGCGGGAUGCUUUACACAUGCAAGUCGAACGAGUGGCGGACGGGUGAGUAAUAUAUCAGAACGUGCCACGUAGCGGGGGAUAACUUGUCGAAAGCGUGGCUAAUACCGAAUAAUCAUGGAGCGGCCGAUAUGGGAUUCGAGAGGUGGUGGGGUAAAGGCUCACCAAGGCAAAGACCCGUAGCUGGUUUGAGAGGAAGACCAGCCACACUGGGACUGAGACACGGCCCAGACUCCUACGUGAGGCAGCAGUGGGGAAUUUUGGACAAUGGGGGAAACCCUGAUCCAGCCAUCCCGCGUGUAUGAGAAGGCCUUCGGGUUGUAAAGUACUUUUGGCAGAGAAGCGGUAUCUGCAGAAUAAGCACCGGCUAACUACGUGCCAGCAGCCGCGGUAAUAC